rnacentral:rRNA from 1 species
AGAGUUUGAUCCUGGCUCAGGAUGAACGCUAGCUACAGGCUUAACACAUGCAAGUCGAGGGGCAUCGGGAAGAAAGCUUGCUUUCUUUGCCGGCGACCGGCGCACGGGUGAGUAACACGUAUCCAACCUGCCCUUUACUCGGGGAUAGCCUUUCGAAAGAAAGAUUAAUACCCGAUGGCAUAAUGAUUCCGCAUGGUUUCAUUAUUAAAGGAUUCCGGUAAAGGAUGGGGAUGCGUUCCAUUAGGUUGUUGGUGAGGUAACGGCUCACCAAGCCUUCGAUGGAUAGGGGUUCUGAGAGGAAGGUCCCCCACAUUGGAACUGAGACACGGUCCAAACUCCUACGGGAGGCAGCAGUGAGGAAUAUUGGUCAAUGGUCGGCAGACUGAACCAGCCAAGUCGCGUGAGGGAAGACGGCCCUACGGGUUGUAAACCUCUUUUGUCGGAGAGUAAAGUACGCUACGUGUAGCGUAUUGCAAGUAUCCGAAGAAAAAGCAUCGGCUAACUCCGUGCCAGCAGCCGCGGUAAUACGGAGGAUGCAAGCGUUAUCCGGAUUUAUUGGGUUUAAAGGGUGCGUAGGCGGCACGCCAAGUCAGCGGUGAAAUUUCCGGGCUCAACCCGGACUGUGCCGUUGAAACUGGCGAGCUAGAGUGCACAAGAGGCAGGCGGAAUGCGUGGUGUAGCGGUGAAAUGCAUAGAUAUCACGCAGAACCCCGAUUGCGAAGGCAGCCUGCUAGGGUGCGACAGACGCUGAGGCACGAAAGCGUGGGUAUCGAACAGGAUUAGAUACCCUGGUAGUCCACGCAGUAAACGAUGAAUACUAACUGUUUGCGAUACAAUGUAAGCGGUACAGCGAAAGCGUUAAGUAUUCCACCUGGGGAGUACGCCGGCAACGGUGAAACUCAAAGGAAUUGACGGGGGCCCGCACAAGCGGAGGAACAUGUGGUUUAA